ACUAUAAAAAUGAAUAUUGGUUUCAGUUUGCGCUGAAUGAAAAGGGAAUGCGGUGAGAAUCCGCAACAGCUCACUCUACUGUAAUGGAGGACGAAAGCCAGAGACCACUGCCGGAAAAUGAUUCGGUGGGAAGGCGGCAAGUAGGUAUGAUUCCUAAGUCAGGAGACCUGCCAAUAGGAUAAGAGGUAAA
rnacentral:ncRNA from 16 species